GCUGAUCGUCCGGUCGCCGUAUGAAAACACCGCACGCGGAGCAGAACCUCUGACGCUCCUGAUGCUCUUCUCACGGCGGGACGGGCGCUGGAUGAAGAGGAUGCGUCCCGUAAGUCCACAUGAUUGUAGCUAUUUCAGGGGGUGGAGGGCGAUGAUUACAGCGCCGGAGAGCACGAGUGAAUGCUUUAUGAAUAUUUCAUGUAAAUGUAAGCGCCACUUACUGGACACAAGGCCUGAUUGAUGGGAAAGUGCCUCUCAAUGCCUCGACUCUGAAGGCUCUCAGACGCCCUCCUUCAGCUCCUGCCUCAAGCGCUGCACUAAUAGCAGAAUAAAGAUGUAUUUAGCAGGAGAGCUCUUCAUUAAUGCUCUUCGUUAAACAAAAGUAGCCGUAUAGGAUUUGUGUCAGUCAGCGAUAUGAAAAGAACUGAUGAGAAACACGCUGAAAAGGAAAAUGCAGCUUUUAGCCGCCGAGCACUCUGCUAUUUUCAGUUUCACUGGCUUUUAUAAAGCUGCACUUGAUUUAGCCGUGAGCGGCAGGAGGCCCCGGCAAAGAAAGAAACGCUGCCGAUCACUCUGGCUUCAGAGGAAAAGAGCGGUCACUAGUGCUUUCAGAGUCCUGAGCUGAAGUUCGAUCUGAAUGAUGAGCGGCGGGCGCUUCAUACCGUCAGUCACAGCUCGUGCUCUUCCUCUCAGAAGAUCCUCCAGACAGCGGCGGGACUUACAGAAACACGGGAUCGCGGCUCUUUGAAGCCAUUAGUCGCGGGAGCUUCCUUUGAGUGUAACACUUGGAAAAAUCAAACCCAAAAUGACAAAGCCCAGAAGAAUACCUGAAAGAGAACAGUAUGUGCUGCCACGUGUAUGUGGUGCUUUACACGCCCUGGCUGUUUCAUCCUCUUCCGAUAGCACGCGUGUGUUCCUGUGAAGCUGAGCGUGGCGUCUGGAGAAUCUGAAGGGAACGAGAAACGCACAGAGAUCUCAGACGAACAGCUCAGGGACAAACGCGCCUCCUCUUGUAGUGCCGCACUCAGACAAGUGUGCGUUUAGACGCGGCGCGGGCCGGUGGGACGUGUGCGGGUGUGUGUUUAUCAGAAGAGAAGCUUUCCUCUGGCGCUCUUCUGGGUGAAGCUGGAGUUCACAAACCCACAGAGUUUCUGCAAAUGAAGCCGAUGAAUGGCGGUCCCUGAACUAGUUUUAAUGAGGCUCCUGGGGUCAGCGCUCGCUUCAUCACGCUCCUGAACCUGAGACUGAUUUAGUGUUUCAAAUAAAACCGGUUACAUUCCAGUUCGUGGAAAUCGU
ensembl:lncRNA